GGGGCAUAAACUAUCUGCUUCUAACAGACUUUCAUCGAGCAAUUCUCGAAUGCUCCU
rnacentral:tRNA from 1 species